rnacentral:rRNA from 1 species
AUUGAACGCUGGCGGCAUGCCUUACACAUGCAAGUCGAACGGCAGCACGGACUUCGGUCUGGUGGCGAGUGGCGAACGGGUGAGUAAUAUAUCGGAACGUGCCCUGGAGUGGGGGAUAACUAGUCGAAAGACUAGCUAAUACCGCAUACGAUCUACGGAUGAAAGUGGGGGAUCGCAAGACCUCAUGCUCGUGGAGCGGCCGAUAUCUGAUUAGCUAGUUGGUGGGGUAAAAGCCUACCAAGGCAUCGAUCAGUAGCUGGUCUGAGAGGACGACAAGCCACACUGGGACUGAGACACGGCCCAGUCUCCUACGGGAGGCAGCAGUGGGGAAUUUUCGACAAUGGGGGCAACCCUGAGCCAGCAAUGCCGAGUGAGUGAAGAAGGCCUUCGGGUUGUAAAGCUCUUUUGUCAGGGAAGAAACGGUUCUGGCUAAUAUCCGGAGCUAAUGACGGUACCUGAAGAAUAAGCACCGGCUAACUACGUGCCAGCCGCCGCGGUAACAC